rnacentral:tRNA from 1 species
AUUAUUUUGGCAGAUUGAAUGUUUUAAAUUUAGGAUUUAAUUAUGUAUUUUAUACAAAUAAUA